UACGAAGGGGGCUAGCGUUGCUCGGAAUCACUGGGCGUAAAGCGCGCGCGGGCGGCUGAUCAAGCCUGACGUGAAAGCCCCCGGCUCAACCGGGGAGGGUCGUCGGGGACUGGUUGGCUUGAGGGCGGUAGGGGCCGGUGGAAUUCCCGGUGUAGUGGUGAAAUGCGUAGAGAUCGGGAGGAACACCAGUGGCGAAGGCGGCCGGCUGGGCCGACCCUGACGCUGAGGCGCGAAGGCGUGGGGAGCGAACGGG
rnacentral:rRNA from 1 species